UCCCCGGCUGCCGUGACUCAGCAAAGCGCUCCUCUCCUCGCUCUGCAGUUCACUUCACCCUUUGCAGAAGUGGACAGAGGCAUCCUUCUGCCUAGACACGUCUUUUAAUCUGAAACAGCAGCACUGACACCUCAAAGAAGCAGAUGGGCCUCCAUAAUUGUGUUCAGCUCUUUGCAGAUGUCAGGGACUGGCACUCCUCUGGGGUUCCAGAAGAGCUCUGUCAGUGCAGGAGGUACCAGCCUCAUGUCUACAACCUACCCAACUGUAAGCUUGACUUCAUGAGAUACUGACAGCACUUCUCUAGUGGAAGAUGCUAUGAAGUGAUGCCCAGCUGCUGAGCACCUUAAACAGGCUGCAGCCUCUGCACUGGAGAUUAAUGAUACAAAGAAUCAAUGCCACCCUGGCUUCUAGCAGCUGUGACAGGACUGGACAUGCAACAAUACUUGUCAGCAGACACAUCCAGUCCUUCAUGGUCUGCAUUUGCUGCCUGAGCUCCUGCCUCCCUUGCUGGGCCUGGGGCUCUGUAGCAUUGCCUUGGAAAGGCAGUUCAGCCAGACCAGGCAGCUCCUGCCCAGUGUCUCUGAGGAGUGCACAUGAGGGACCAGAACCUGGAAGGAGGUGCUUAGGAGACCCAAUACCUGCCUCAGCAUCAUGAGCAGAGCCCAGCUCAGAAUCACUGUGGGGUGCUCACUGUCUGGAAGCACAGUGUUUGCCUGCUCCCCAGGACUGAAGCUUGUUUAAAUAAGAAAUCUGAAACAGCAUCUCUAGAGCCUGCAGGCAAAUGAGCCCCAGCAAACAGUGAUGUGGAUGGAGCAGAAAAAUGAAGCAGUUUGUGGUGUUUUGGUUUUUUGUUUUGUGGUUAUUUUAUCCUCCAGCUAAAUAAAGGAUA